GGUAUAAAUACAUUACACGUGUGGGGCGCAACCGGGGCACUUGCUGCGGAGCUUCGAUACAUCUUCAUGUCUUUGUAAGAAAAGACAGUCAGAAUGAGCUUGCCCGAUUAUAGCGAGACAGAACAAAUUCAAGGAUCAAGAGAUGGUGUGUGAAAAAAGUGAAAAGUUUGCCUCACGGGAUGAAGCUAUGUAUGCAAUAGAUGUCUUUGAAGAAAGUAGCAAUACAAACUUUGUUGUUAUUGAGAAGAAAAACUUUGGCAAUAAAGAUCAACAAAUCUACGAUGUGUUGAUUUAAACAGACUGAAGUGCUGCAACAAAUUGUAGAUUCUACUGCCUGAGACACUUACAACUCUGAAAACAGAAAAUACGCUUUUAAAGCUGCUCCUUUGUUCCCCUGGCCAUAAAAUAUGAGCAGAUUGGGGGAGGCAGUAGCUUUUGGGGUGUGUUUUCUACAUACAUCAGACCUUUGAAAAAUGUGUCUGCUGUUGUCUCCCAUUACAACGAUUUACUGGCUGCCCCCUCCAGAUGCUGUGGCCAUCCAGCGACUUCAGCUACCUUGCCUUUGCACUUAGGUUGGUAUUAUUUAGACACACUAACCCUUUUUUUUCCUCUCCAAAUGUUCACACCUGUUUAAAUUUCUGGGGGGAGGAUUUUUACAUCUGUCCAUAUAUUUUAGUGUUGGGCUAGAACUACUGCCUGUAUGUUGAGGGAGCACUUCAAGUGGGGCACAAGAUCUCUGAAACAAGGACACAAGCAUGGUGGCAGUUUGAACUUGUUCAGUUUAUUAGAA